rnacentral:rRNA from 1 species
AGUGAACGCUGGCGGUAGGCCUAACACAUGCAAGUCGAACGGCAGCACAGUAAGAGCUUGCUCUUACGGGUGGCGAGUGGCGGACGGGUGAGGAAUACAUCGGAAUCUACUUUUUCGUGGGGGAUAACGUAGGGAAACUUACGCUAAUACCGCAUACGACCUACGGGUGAAAGCAGGGGAUCUUCGUACCUUGCGCGAUUGAAUGAGCCGAUGUCGGAUUAGCUAGUUGGCGGGGUAAAGGCCCACCAAGGCGACGAUCCGUAGCUGGUCUGAGAGGAUGAUCAGCCACACUGGAACUGAGACACGGUCCAGACUCCUACGGGAGGCAGCUGUGGGGAAUAUUGGACAAUGGGCGCAAGCCUGAUCCAGCCAUACCGCGUGGGUGAAGAAGGCCUUCGGGUUGUAAAGCCCUUUUGUUGGGAAAGAAAAGCAGCAGGUUAAUACCCCGCUGUUCUGACGGUACCCAAAGAAUAAGCACCGGCUAACUUCGUG